ensembl:lncRNA
AUUAAUAUAAAUGAAAACAUAUUGUCAGGAUCCUGCCCUGAGAGUUGUUCCUGUCUUGUCUCCAUUCAAUGUUUCUUUGUUUGUUUUGUGUCUCAGCACAUGGCUCUGUCUCUGUUUGUGCUUGUCAUGUGCUCCUCUUGUCCCACCUCCUUGUUUCCACUGGUCACGCCCCCUUGUUUAGUCCUUGUUUGCUUGAUUAAUAUGUUCACCUGAUCCUCAUGUGCUCUGCUCCUCUAUAUUGUGCUCCUUUAACUUGUGUCCCUGCUGGUUCAUUGAGGUGUUUUCCUGUUCUUUGUCUGGAAAUUAUCUGUUGAUCUUGUUCUAGUGAUUUUUAAUCUCAUAUCCAGUAAUAUUGUAUCCUUGUUUCUAUUUUGUUUGCUGUAGUUUUUGAUUUUGUGCAUUCUAGUGUAGUUUAGUUUCUUAUUCGAUUUAGAAUUUCAUUUUCAUUCUGUUUUUGCAGUUCCAGUUUCCUUAUUGGACCGUAGCUCUUUUGUUUUUACUUUUCAAUUAUUCUUUGGCUAGUUUUGGUCUCUUUGGCAAUUGCUCUUUUCUGUUUUGUUCUCUUAUUUGUUUUUGCAUUUUGUCUGUCUUGUUGUGUUGUCUUGAGUCUCGUCUUCGUGUUUUGUCUGGUCCUGUCCUGUAUCCAGAGUUUCCUGGCCAAGACCCUACUGCCUGGCAGCGGCUCUCUAAUGGUGUGUGAUAAGAGUGUUUAUACCAUCUGGACUGUGAUUUGCUGGAUUAGUUCCACUUGUCAUUGUGUCGCUCACAUUACGAGAUCACAUGGUAAUAUCAAACCGGUUUGAAAAUGUCAUAGCAUCUGUGAUAGCUCGAGACAGGUUUGGAUCAUGUUGCUGACCUUCUCAUACUUAACGAGCUUCGGUGACCGCAAUGAGCACCGAUUUGGUCACGAUCUGGGGGUAUUGUAGGAGAUUGUUGAAAUAUGUCCGCGACAGCAAAAUCCAGCCAAAAAUCCAAUAGUGUGAGCUUGUCAUAACUCAAGUAUCUAGCCUUUGGUUCUGUGAGCCACCACCUGGCAGCAAGACUGGUGCUACAUCUGAGAUCUACAUCAGGCGAUGGGUUUCUUGUGUUCCUGCCUAGUCUUUUCUCUGGUGCUGCAGCUCUUGUGCUCAAGUCCAUUGCCAAAGUGGACUGUCAUCUGUGGACUGUGGACGGUCAUCACUCCUGCCUGUUGUUUGCCCUGCCCCAGUGUUUGGUCUGUUUCACGCCUCACUGUCAUUGCUGUCUCUAGUCUACUGUCUUGUUAAUAAAAC